rnacentral:lncRNA from 1 species
CAUCUUCAUAGAAAUGAUAUGAGCAUGUAUUGAGCAUCUUUAAGAGGCUCUCUAUUUUUUAAAGAGUAUUAUAUAAUUUAUAAAGCAUCUAUAACUUUAAAGAAUAACAAUUUAUAGCUAAAUUCAUAAGGAAUCUUCUCUAGUUUUUUGCAAAAUCUCAACACCAGUCGUUCAAGUACAUGGAAAUGAUCAUUUAGGGAAUCUCAUUGUCCAAGAUCUGACACAAUAAUUCAAGGAAUUUGAGCUUUUGGAGCUCAUUAUCCUUUGUGUUCCAGGUUAUCCCUCAAAGACAUCCAACUCUAAUUUCAGAAUCUUAAAGUUUGGCGCCUUAAUGUUGCCCCAAUAAUCAAAAUAUUUGUGUGGAGAAGUUGUAACUUCACAUUAAUUUACUUACAAUAAAGAAGUUGUAACUUCACGUCAACUACAAAGAAAAUAAUUGCGAACAAGAAAAACAACUAACAAUUGACAUGGAGCCCAAAAUUAUUUUCUAAUCAUGAGGUGUGGGAUGUAAAGGAAUCUCUUGCAAGGAAAUUAAAAAAUUUUGAAAAUGAAUAAUAAAAAUAUUUAUUUCAGGAACAAAGAAAAUGAUGGGAUGAGCUUUGACUU